ACUGUGUGGCCAAGAUAAGAAAUCUGAUUUCAGAAAGUAAUCAUUGUUUCACAGAGGCUUUUUAAGCCAUCGAAACAAAGUUUCCUAAGCAACAUAUUAGUUGGCCAUUAUAUUAGUUAAUGGUCCAGAUUUAUGAGAGGAAGAAGAUCCAUUGACCCAUCAUCAGGGACAAGAUUCAAACUGACACCAGAGUCAUUUUUAUUAUUGUAAAUUUAAGUGAUGAAUUAUAGGAAAUCUUUUGUUCUUCUUUCUUGAAAGAACAAUUAUAGAUUUCUGUAGUUUUACAGUAACUCUGUGCCUUGGUUUAUAGUUUUGUUCCACUUGUAUCUAUCAUUUACUAUUUCUUAAUAGAAAUAAAAAAUUACCGUUUGCAAAAAGAGAGGAAACAAGUAUUUUUAACAAUUUUGUUUGUCCUAAAAAACAGAUAGUUGUCGUUUUAAUGUUGCUUCAUGACUACUGUCCUGCUCAGCAAAAAUAAGUAUUUCAAUUUGCAUCAAUUUCUCUUUUAGGUUGGAGAUGAUUGUCGACAAGAUGUCCUUGCACUUCAAGUGAUUUCUUUACUUAGGGACAUAUUUCAAGCAAUCGGACUAAGUCUUUAUCUUUUUCCUUAUGGUGUUUUACCCACUGGACCUGAAAGAGGCAUAAUAGAGGUGAGACAUGUCCUGAUAAGUAUUUCCAUUAUAAGUGAGUGUAGAGUUAAAUUGUUAUAUCUCAAAAUAGUAUUGUUUUGUUUGUUUUCUUGGGAGUGUAUUUUUUUAAAAUAAAGCUUUAUUGAUCAGAUAUGUUACGAUUGUGUUGUGCGCCAGUGGUAUUUUGGUUUGGUAAUUAUGUAAAAAUAUUGUACAUUCUAUAUAUUUUUAAAAUUCUAAUAUGCAUAAUUUUAAAUACCGAAUAAUAAUAAAGUAGUAAUACAAAAAACUAAAGCUCUAAAUAAUAGUCAAAAUCCGACCUGAAUCCAAUUAGGGUUCGGCUACUGGAGGCGCCUUGAAAAGUGCUUCCAGGUAGCGAUACUGCGAUAGCAUUUAAAACCAUGGGUACAAUCUAUUUAAUAAUGAUAUGUACACUCCUCUAGAGAGUUAUAUUUCUAAAUAGCUUAGAGCAAUGAAUUCAAAGUAAUGCAUUUUUUGUAAACAAAAAUAUAACUAAGCUAAUAAGAUAAUAUAAUACAGAAAAACAAAUCAUUCAAAAUCAUACUAAAUUAAUAUGUAUCAUUAUAUUCUAUCAUUAAACACGGUAUUUUUUUAAGUCUUCUCUAUGUUGAUAAUACAUAUCUUUACGUUUAUGAUUAAUGUUGAAUAUAGUAAUAUGAUGAUUGUUGUAGAAGAGCUUAUGAUGAUUAUUGUAGAAGAGCUUAUGAUGACUGUUUAUAAUAUAUUACCUUUUAUAUAGAAUUGUUUUAUGUAAUUUUAAAACGUAAUAUAUGAAAUGGUUAUGGUUAAUAGUGAAUGCUAUAAUAUCAGCAUUGUCUUACACUGAAUCAAAUAGCAUGUAAAUUCUUGAUGAGUUUAACCUAGUGUUUCAUCUUUCAUGUUUGUUCAAAACUUCAAAUAGAUUGAAGGAAAUCCUUUGACGAAGUUGAUUCGGAAAUUAGAACAUGAUUUUGCUUCAAUUUUAUUGUUAUAUGAGCAUAUGGUAAAACAUAUAUGCAGAAAAAAGAGUAUACUUGUUUGGUUAAGCAUCUAAAAGGCACAAGAUUGUGGCAUUCUUCUUUAGAAUCCAGGCUUCUCAACUUUCUGUUAUCAAUAUAUCCCAAAAUAUAUUGCUACUGUGCUAUAUCAUUUUCUUGAAAUCAUAUAUUUAAUUAUUUAUAGUUGAGAAAAUUAUAUUUCACUACAUUUAAUUAUCGAAAUAACAUUUGACAUUAAUAUAUGAUAAUAUUGUUUAUCUUUUAACUGUAGGUGGUUCCCAAUACAAGAAGUAGAAAUCAGAUGGGUGAAGUUACUGAUGGUGGUCUGUAUGAAAUUUUCCAACAAGACUUUGGGCCCGUUGGUUCCCCUAGCUUUGAAAAUGCUCGUGAAAUGUUCAUCGUAAGCAGCGCUGGUUAUGCAGUUGCUAGUCUCUUGCUACAGCCUAAAGAUCGACACAAUGGCAACUUACUUUUUGACAAGUAUAUGAUAUUAUAUAUUAUUGUUAACUUUUCAACAUUGGCAGAUGCUAAGCAUUAACCCCUGGUCCUUUACAGCUUAGGAAGGUUGGUUCAUAUUGAUUUUGGGUUCAUAUUGGAGACAUCACCUGGUGGAAACAUGCAUUUUGAAAGUGCUCAUUUCAAAUUGAGUCAUGAAAUGACCCAGUUACUUGAUCCUUCAGGUUCAAUGAAAAGUGAUACAUGGUCACAAUUUGUAAGGCAAGUUUGGUUAAAUUUAAUUCUCUUCCUCGUACUUUUGAAUUCUAGAUAAAUGUACGAGGUAUUUUGGCUCAUGUAAGUUGUCUUAUAAUAAUACAAGUUUACAUGAGGUCACAAGUUUUAUUCUCCAUAAGCACCUUCUAUGGUGGAUGAUUGAAGGAGGGAACCACAUCCAGCAGCAAAGUACUUUGUUGAUCCAUUUUUAAGGGAUGGAAUUCCCUCUCUUGACUCAAUGUCAUUCAGUCUUUUAAAUGUACAAAGCUUGAAAAAAAUGGAAAUAAUAAAUAGAGUAAGAGAAGUAGAGAACUGGAUAUUGAUAUUUAGGGUGCAUUUCCCAUGCGGUUCGUUCCCAAGACGGAUGACUGCGGACGAACCGCGAUGGGUCAUCGGAGUCCGCGGAGGUUACCGCACCUCACCCAAUCGGGACGUUCGUCGAGGUCGCGGAGGUUCCGCUCGCCGAACUGGAUAUAUCUGACGGAACCACGUCAGUUUUAGGUGAGGCCUCACAUUCGUCGGAUUUGAAAUCGGAUUUGAAAUCCGACGAAUCCAAUGACCCAUCCACAGCCAGCUUCACCUGCGGACGUUCGCAGGUGAAGCUGGCUGUUGAUACUUACAAAAAAAACAAGUUACUUAAAUACACCCUGAAUUUUCGCUAGUUGUCAAUUAGUGCAGUCAUCUGCAAUUGAAUUCUCCUGUUUUGGAAAGUAUUUUUAUUCAUUUGUAUACUUUGUCAUUUUGUAGUUUGUGCGUCAAGGGCUAUCUUUCUGCACGAAGGCACAUGAAUAGCAUCAUCACUACAGUAAAUCUAAUGCGAGACAGUGGCUUACCAUGUUUUAGUAGUAGGGGCGAUCCUAUCGUUAACCUUCGGAAACGAUUCCAUCCAGAGAUGAGUGAACGUGAAGCUGCUAAUUUCAUGAUCAAGACUUGUGUGGAUGCAUACAACAAGUGGACCACUGCUGGCUAUGACUUGAUUCAGUAUUUGCAGCAGGGUAUUGAAAAAUAGUGUUUUUAUUUGAUACACAUUAAUUGCUCUUAAUUUUUGCGGUGAGUGCUCAAUGAUUGAUUACUGAUUACAUGCGAAAUAAUCAACACAGUCCUAAGACAAUAUUUUAUUACAAGGUUUUCUGAAAUUACCACAAGUUUAUUUUUUGUUCUCUCUUCAGUUUUCACUUAAUACAAAAUAUCAAAUGGAAUUUAUCAUGGUUACCCGACGUCCAUCCACAAAUCCACAAUCUUAAGUCUUAAUCCGAUUAACACUAAAUAACCCACUUAGCCCAAUUGAACAGUCCCAGAGAUGGUCAAACACACACUCUAAACCUGACCAUUGUUUAAACGAUUUUUAACUUACUUAAAAGUUAAAACAACAGAGUUUACAUCCAUUCUUUGUAAUAUACCACUCAUCCGCUUCUAGGAUCAUUUUAUGUUCUUAGUCAUUGCUUCCUGAAUCAAAU
rnacentral:lncRNA from 1 species